CGAAUGGCUCAUUAAAUCAGUUAUCGUUUAUUUGAUAGUACCUUACUACUUGGAUAACCGUGGUAAUUCUAGAGCUAAUACGUGCUAAAAAUCCCGACUCACGGAGGGAUGUAUUUAUUAGAUUAAAAACCAAUGCCCUUCGGGGCUCCUUGGUGAUUCAUAAUAACUUCUCGAAUCGCAUGGCCUUGUGCCGGCGAUGGUUCAUUCAAAUUUCUGCCCUAUCAACUUUCGAUGGCAGGGUCUUGGCCUGCCAUGGUUACAACGGGUAACGGAGGGUUAGGGCUCGACCCCGGAGAAGGAGCCUGAGAAACGGCUACUACAUCCAAGGAAGGCAGCAGGCGCGCAAAUUACCCAAUCCCGAUUCGGGGAGGUAGUGACAAUAAAUACUGAUACAGGGCUCUUUCGGGUCUUGUAAUUGGAAUGAGUACAAUUUAAAUCUUAACGAGGAACAAUUGGAGGGCAAGUCUGGUGCCAGCAGCCGCGGUAAUUCCAGCUCCAAUAGCGUAUAUUAAAGUUGUUGCAGUUAAAAAGCUCGUAGUUGAACCUUGGGCCUGGCUGGCCGGUCCGCCUCACCGCGUGCACUGGUUCGGCCGGGCCUUUCCCUCUGGGGAUCCCCAUGCCCUUCACUGGGUGUGGUGGGGAACCAGGACUUUUACUGUGAAAAAAUUAGAGUGUUCAAAGCAGGCCUAUGCUCGAAUA
rnacentral:rRNA from 1 species